AGGCAGCAGUGGGGAAUUUUGGACAAUGGGGGCAACCCUGAUCCAGCAAUGCCGCGUGUGUGAAGAAGGCCUUCGGGUUGUAAAGCACUUUUGUCCGGAAAGAAAUCGCACUUACUAAUAUUAGGUGUGGAUGACGGUACCGGAAGAAUAAGGACCGGCUAACUACGUGCCAGCAGCCGCGGUAAUACGUAGGGUCCAAGCGUUAAUCGGAAUUACUGGGCGUAAAGCGUGCGCAGGCGGUUGUGCAAGACCGAUGUGAAAUCCCCGGGCUUAACCUGGGAAUUGCAUUGGUGACUGCACGGCUAGAGUGUGUCAGAGGGGGGUAGAAUUCCACGUGUAGCAGUGAAAUGCGUAGAGAUGUGGAGGAAUACCGAUGGCGAAGGCAGCCCCCUGGGAUAACACUGACGCUCAUGCACGAAAGCGUGGGGAGCAAACAGGAUUAGAUACCCUGGUAGUCCACGCCCUAAACGAUGUCAACUAGUUGUUGGGGAUUCAUUUCCUUAGUAACGUAGCUAACGCGUGAAGUUGACCGCCUGGGG
rnacentral:rRNA from 1 species